GCCCUGUUAGCAUAGCGGCCCAAUGCACUCGCCUGUCGAGCGAUAGAUCACCGGUUCGAAUCCGGUACAGGGCGCCA
rnacentral:tRNA from 1 species